UUAGUGGCGGACGGGUGAGUAACGCGUGGGCAACCUGCCCUAUACAGGGGGAUAGCAGCUGGAAACGGCUGGUAAGACCGCAUAAGUCGGCGAGACCGCAUGGUUUUGUCGGGAAAUGAGCAAUCAGGUAUAGGAUGGGCCCGCGUCCGAUUAGCCAGUUGGCAGGGUAAAAGCCUACCAAAGCAACGAUCGGUAGCCGGACUGAGAGGUCGGACGGCCACAUUGGGACUGAGACACGGCCCAAACUCC
rnacentral:rRNA from 1 species